UUGGGAAGAGCUCCAGUACUGCUGCUGCUGCUAUUACUGCCCCGUCGUGUUACGGAUCUGAGACCUCAUAACCUUGUCAUCUACCACAGACCAGAUCUUCUGGAUCUAGUUAGAGAUAACGUGAGCAAGAGAAGCUUGCGAUGCGCCGAUACACAUGUUCUGGACCUGGUCGAAUUGAUCUUAAGACCUCCAAAUCUCGAGCCUCCACUCGUCCCAGAGCAGAGUGAUGCGG